UACGGGGGGGGCAAGCGUUGUUCGGAUUCAUUGGGCGUAAAGGGUGCGUAGGCGGCGCGGUAAGUCGGGUGUGAAAUCUCGGAGCUUAACUCCGAAACUGCAUUCGAUACUGCCGUGCUUGAGGACUGGAGAGGAGACUGGAAUUUACGGUGUAGCGGUGAAAUGCGUAGAUAUCGUAAGGAAGACCAGUGGCGAAGGCGGGUCUCUGGACAGUUCCUGACGCUGAGGCACGAAGGUCAGGGGAGCAAACGGG
rnacentral:rRNA from 1 species